AACGAACGCUGGCGGCAGGCUUAACACAUGCAAGUCGAGCGCCCCGCAAGGGGAGCGGCAGACGGGUGAGUAACGCGUGGGAAUCUACCCUGAUCUGCGGAAUAGCUCCGGGAAACUGGAAUUAAUACCGCAUAUGCCAUGAGGGGCAAAGGUUGAUCCGGAUUGGGAUGCGCCCGCGUUGGAUUAGCUAGUUGGUGGGGUAAAGGCCUACCAAGGCGACGAUCCAUAGCUGGUCCAAGAGGAUGAUCAGCCACAUUGGGACUGAGACACAGCCCAAACUCCUGCGGGAGGCAGCAGUGGGGAAUAUUGGACAAUGGGCGCAAGCCUGAUCCAGCCAUGCCGCGUGAGUGAUGAAGGCCCUAGGGUUGUAAAGCUCUUUCACCGGGGACGAUAAUGACGGUACCCGGAGAAGAAGCCCCGGCUAACUUCGUGCCAGCCGCCGCCGUAA
rnacentral:rRNA from 1 species